CGCUCGGUCUCGAACCCCUCAAGGUCUGAUUGGGAGGACUCUACGUGGGUUAGCCUUCAACGUUACAGUGGAAAGACAUGAUCAAACUCAGAUGCGGAUUGAUUGGUUUGACAAUGUGAGGAUAUGAUUAUAGAGUGCAGAGGAGGGAUUAUAAUGGCAUUAGCACCUGGCAGAGUUGCAUAGAGGCUGUUGCACUUGAAUCCAGCAACGAGCAGCUCGUCAUUGUGCACGUCUUCAUUUCUGCCUGCUGUGUUGUGCACUUUCUGAGCCCUUCACUAAGACCCACUUGCUCAAUUUAUGUCGGGUGGUUCGGUUCCUUCCUCAUCAGGCAAGCUUUGCAAUGCAGUAUCGGCAGUUCAGAUUCUUGCUACAGUUAUUGAAGACGAAGAGGGAUGAGAGGAGCAUGUAGCCGAGGUACACGGCAGUGACAAGAGUACACCCGCGGUUGUUACGAGGAGAUGUGGAGAGAGGACACGAUGGCACGACUAAAAACUUUAAGAAGCGAGCAGAUUGCAACGACUGACUAGGGGUUAUUAAGGCGGAUUAGAAAUAAUGGAUUCACUAAACCCUAAUUAGUCAUUGUGUAUAUGUGUACACACACACAUCUGCACUUGUUUGUGGAAACUUGUGUUGAUAAGCGUUAAAUUCUUGUAAAUCUGGAUACUGGAAAUUAUUUCAGAAUUCAUUCUCGCCUCAAUAACCACCUCCACCAAUCCACUCAAAACCACGAACAAUGUUUCGAGUUUCUUAUAUGCACCAGAUUGACACC
rnacentral:lncRNA from 1 species